rnacentral:tRNA from 1 species
GGCAGUAGCUCAGUGGUAGAGCUCCCGCUUCGUAUGGGGGGAGACGUGGGUUCGGAUCCCGGCUACUACCA